rnacentral:rRNA from 1 species
AGUGAACGCUGGCGGUAGGCCUAACACAUGCAAGUCGAACGGCAGCACAGUAAGAGCUUGCUCUUACGGGUGGCGAGUGGCGGACGGGUGAGGAAUACAUCGGAAUCUACUUUUUCGUGGGGGAUAACGUAGGGAAACUUACGCUAAUACCGCAUACGACCUACGGGUGAAAGCAGGGGAUCUUCGGACCUUGCGCGAUUGAAUGAGCCGAUGUCGGAUUAGCUAGUUGGCGGGGUAAAGGCCCACCAAGGCGACGAUCCGUAGCUGGUCUGAGAGGAUGGUCGGCCACACUGGAACGGAGACACGGUCCAGACUCCUACGGGAGGGAGCAGUGGGGAAUAUUGGACAAUGGGCGCAAGCCUGGUCCAGCCAUACCGAGUGGGUGAAGGAGGCCUUCGGGUUGUAAAGCCCUUUUGUUGGGAAAGAAAAGCAGCAGGUUAAUACCCCGCUGUUCUGACGGUACCCAAAGAAUAAGCACCGGCUAACUUCGUG